AAUUUUGGACAAUGGGGGAAACCCUGAUCCAGCCAUCCCGCGUGUGCGAAGAAGGACUUCGGGUUGUAAAGCACGUUUGGCAGGGAAGAAAAGGUGCGCGCUAAUACCCUGAUCUGCUGACGUUACCUACAGAAUACGCACCGGCUAACUGCGUGCCAGCAGCCGCGGUAAUACGAAGGGUGCAAUCGUUAAUCGGAAUUACUGGGCGUAAAGCGUGCGCAGGCGGUUUGGGAAGAUGGAUGUGAAAGCCCAGGGCUUAACCUUGGAACUGCUUUCAUAACUGGCAAGCUAGAGUAUGUCAGAGGGGGGUAGAAUUUCGUGUGUAGCGGUGAAAUGCGUAGAGAUGGGGAGGAAUACCAAUGGCGAAGGCAGCCCCCUGGGAUAAUACUGACGCUCAUGCACGAAAGCGUGGGGAGCAAAC
rnacentral:rRNA from 1 species